GACGAAGGGGGCUAGCGUUGUUCGGAAUUACUGGGCGUAGAGCGAGUGUAGGCGGUUUAUCUAGUCAGGCGUGAAAGCCUUGAGCUCAACUCAAGAAAUGCGCUUGAUACUGGUAGACUCGAGUGCCGGAGAGGAUAGUGGAAUUCCCAGUGUAGUGGUGAAAUACGUAGAGAUUGGGAAGAACACCAGUGGCGAAGGCGGCUAUCUGGACGGUUACUGACGCUAAGACUCGAAAGCGUGGGGAGCAAACAGG
rnacentral:rRNA from 1 species